GCGAGAAUCGUCCAACGGCAGGACACCGGUGCGCCACGCCGAAGAUGUGGGUUCGAGUCCCGCUUCUCGCACCA
rnacentral:tRNA from 2 species